rnacentral:lncRNA from 1 species
GGAUGGCGCAGCACCAGCGGGGAGCAGAGGGGACCCCCCCGGUGCCACCGUCACUGCGGCCGGUGCAGGGCGUCCCUGCGUGUCCCCGUCACGGUGGUGUGGAUGCCCUGGCGUGCUGCGGAGGGGAGCGGGAGCCAUCCCCGAGGCCAGCCCCAGCGGGGACACCGGUGGGUGCUGCACGGGGACACCUGGAGCGGUCCUGUCCCCAUGGCGGGGGGAGCGGUGACAGCCCUGCGGGGCUGGCUCAGGGGGCCGGGGAUGCUCCGUGCCCCGUGGGAGCAGGACGGAUCAGCACGGAGGAGAACCAGCCAGACGCCGCUGCGAAUGUCACCUCGUCCGCAACGCCGGCUCCCGUGGCCCCCCACUCCGGCCAGAUGUGGGUCACCCCUGAGCACCCAGAGGGGCUGGGAUCCGAGGGGGACUCCGGCUUCGGCUCCGGCUCCUGGGGGACCUCUCCCAGGAGGAAGGCAGGGUACCGUGGGUGCCAUCCGGAUGACCCCCUGGACCCCGCUGGGGCACGUUCCCCCGGCUCAGAAACACCAAGAGCUGGAGGUCACCGGGCUCGGCGGAGCAGGGGCUGGCGCCGGGGGGGACCCCUGAGGGACGCCGGGUGGCAACAAGGCGACGCAUCGGGGCUGCAGACCCUUGGGAAGGGCCCCUCGCCCCACCGUCCCAGCCGGCAGGAACCUGUGGACUCCUUCGAGAUGGAGGAGGUGCUGAGCGCCAGUGAGGAGGAGGAUGAUGAUGACGGCGAUGCCCGCGAGGAAGCCGUCCGGUCCCUCCAUCCCUCCAUCGGGAUCCGAAGAAGCUUCAUGCUGCACACCAGCAGCGGGCAGUCCGACAGCAGCGGCUUCGUGGAGGAGCCGGUGUCCGGCCAGCCGCCUGCUGCCCGGCUCCAUGGCACUGACCAGACGGCCUGAGGCCACCGCAGAGGGACCUGAGUUUGUCCCGGCUCCGGCAGGAGCCACGGCUGCGUGCCGGAUGGACCGUGCCGUACCGCUGCGUUUCGGACACAGAGACCAUCCUCAGCUGAGGGCUGAGCACUGCGUGUACACGUGUGGGUGUGCGUGCACGUGUGGGUGUGUGGGUGCACAUGUGGGUGUUUGGCACAGAAAACCUUUUGACUCAGGACUUUUGCCCCAAGGGGCACAUGCGUCCCCCCUCCACCCAGCCUGCCGGCGCUGGGGCUGCGGCUGCACCGGAGAAGCGCCGGGGACAUCUCGCCCGUGCCUUGCUCUUGGGGACAUCGCUCGCACUUUGGUCACGGUCGGUCGCUCGUGCUGCAGUGCCUGUAACACUAGGACGGGGGUUUGCUGGGCAGAGCCAGCAGCACGCUGGAAAUAAAGUUCCCAA